rnacentral:lncRNA from 1 species
AAUUGAAGUUCAUACCAAAAAGCACACAAUUGUCAAAUAUCAAUUGGAAUGACUAAACAUUCAAUUAAAUUCAUGGUUGAAACAGUCAAACAGUUUUAACUACUAAGGCAGCAUUUCAAAAUUGCACAUUUUUAUCAUAACAACAAACAAACAUUUUAUACUAAAAUAUAUAAUUUUCAAAUCUAGCCUAAAUGUUUUGCUAAAACAAUAAUGUUCAUGUACAUUCUGUAUAAAUAUUUAGAAAACAUUUGGUCUAAACUCAAAACCUUUCAUCUGUACAUGGUAAUAUCAAUGUUUAACUAAUGGAAUCCAGUCACUGUUUAAGGAGAAGUUUUUCUAUAAAAAGGUAUUUAUAACAAAGCAAUCAAUUAGAAAAACGAAAACCUUUUCAAUACUGAAUUGAAA